UAGAGGAAACCAAAGAAAGGAGACACGUGGUCUGAAAUUAAUACAGCUGGUGAAGUCAGACUUAAAGCAGGUUCAUUUAUUUACAGUUGACUUGAAUAACUGAAACAUGGAUUUUAUAAUUAGAAUGUCUUGGAAAAAGCAACCUAAUUUACAGGUGGACACAAAAAGUACAUAAGAAAACCUCUCAGAUAUUAUAGGCUUUGAUUGCAGUGUGAAUGGCUGACUUGAAACUGACAUCAACUACUUCUUGGGGAAGACAGCUCAACACAAAAAGGAUGUUUGUGAUCUGGAACUGAAUCUUCAAUAUCUCCAAGCAGGUAGAGCAUGGUUAAAUAAUGAGCUAUUCCCAGGUGGCACAUCAGCAAGGGUUGCACACUCAAGAUGAGUUUGAUGCUGAUUUCCAUUAUAUUCCACAGACCUCAACACAGGUGGCCGUUCUUCCUCUUCCUAAGUCAGAAAAUUUG
rnacentral:lncRNA from 1 species